rnacentral:misc_RNA from 1 species
GAUGAAGAACGUAGCGAAAUGCGAUAAGUAAUGUGAAUUGCAGAAUUCAGUGAAUCAUCGAAUCUUUGAACGCACCUUGCGCCUUUUGGUAUUCCGAAAGGCACACCUGUUUGAGCGUCAUGACUACCUCAAUCUCCAUCUUUUCUUCGGAUUGAUGGGUGACUUGGAUGUUGAGCCCUGCUGGUAUGCUAUAUCAGCUGGCUUUAAACUUAUUAGCCGGCUCUGUACUGGAUCGGUUUGACUCGACGUGAUAAUAUUAUCGUUGAGGAUGCAUGUCUCAUGCAGCCGGAAAGUAUCAAAGCAGCUUCUAGCUUGCCUUUAGUGCACUUUUACAUUUUAGACCUCAGAUCAGGUGGGACUACCCGCUGAACUUAAGCAUAUCAAUAAGCGGAGGA